UUGGAUAGGACUGAAGCGCCAUGAGACAAAAAGUAGUUUCGCCAUCAAUAUAUGAACGCUGAAGAUCAUUUUCUCAUACAGGAUUGUUUUUGGGGAAAAUUACGUAUAAAUUUCAUAAAAGGGACUUAUCUGCAGAUAAAUUUAGAAACUAUAAUCAAAUUUUAAAAUUUGAGUGUAAUUUGAGAGAGAUGUAGAAAAACAAUAUUACCCUUAUUUAUUAAGUUACAACGACAAAGAAAUCUUUUAGGUUUUCUAUGCUUCUUACUUCGUAUGCCUUCUCCUUCCACGUUUAUCUGCAUCCCUUCUCCACAGAGCAACCGUGCGAACCCUUGAGCCGUCACUUUCAUCUACAUCCCUUGGCCGAUGCGUUCAUCUACUUCUUGCAUUGUCGUCUUCCUCUACUUCCCUUUUCAACGCCAUCACCUUCCUUCUUCAUAGUCUUUGCUUUGUCGCCCUUAAGGAUUUUCUCAAGUCUACUCGCAUUCACUCUAUAAUGAAGCUGGCAUAUCAUCUCCUCAUGUUUGUGUCAUCAAUUUGAGUAAGAAGACGCGAUCCCUUGAUGGGAUGAGCAAUAUUUGUAUUGAUUAUAAUUGGCAUUGGUGUUGCCCCUCUGUGUGACGCAUGGUCAAGAAUUUUCAGAAGUAAAAUUGCAUUAGAAUUCGAAAAAGGAGGAAAGAAGCAAAGUGAAUGAAGGGCCAGAGACUUGCUCUGUCAGGGCUUGUGAAGUUGGAGGUUUGAGAGCAUUUCUACGCCAUUAAAUACCAAGGUAAGAUUCUUAAACUCCUACCCUUUCUUUCUCUUCCAUUUUCUCUAGUUGUGGAGUUAGGGUUUCUGUUGGGAUGAUGAUUUUUGGUCCAUAAUGACUAUAAGUGCAAACCUAUUGACUUAAAUAAAGUUUAUGUGAAUUAUUUAGGUUA